CGGGCCUGAGCCCGAGGCUCCUCGCAGGGCUCCGGGGCCAGGUCCAGGCCAGGAUAGCAGCCUGGAGCUCCAGUCUCGGGUCUCCAAGGCCCUUGUGAAAACGCUCUUAUCUCAAGAAAGGAGAAAGAGUGUGCGGUCCCUCCCCAGGCCCCUUGGUGGCGAAGAACACGCUUGGUAUCGAAGAGCGCGGGUGUGUGAGUCAGAGGCGCUGGGUUUGAAAUCGGAUUCUGCCCCUAGUGACUGGGAUUCUGAGCAAUUGUCCUAACCCCUGUCCAACCAAGAGAACCACUGCUUCUUCAAGGGAAGCUGGAGGACGACGUGAAAUAAUGGACAGAGCCUGCACCGGACAUACAAGAAUGGCUAAAAUUGCAAGAAAAGAAACCCGUCAAUACCAAACGUGGCAAUGCUUGGAGCAGCUGGAACUCUCCUACACUGAAGGUUGAAUAAACGUGAUACCAGGUGGAAGCUCAGAUCUACACGAGGAAUGAAGAAUGCCGGAAAUCAUAAAUAUAUGAGCCACUCAAGGCCUUGAAAUUUAUGUGACUCUCCCAAAGUAUGACCCAGAGCCUAGAUGCUGAACUGCCAGAACCCAUGGACAUUUAGGACUCGAGUAAAUCACAGGACAAUAAGAGCAACCAAGUACGGCCUCGUCCAAGUACAGCUUUGCAGGUUUUCUGCCCUCUUUUCUGGAAGGUGCACAAUGCUCGGCUCUGUGGUUAUUUUCGCCUAACAGCUGUGUUUCCGGUGAGCAGCUGGGAGAUGCUUCUGACUCAGCAGAACUGGAGCAGUAACCGUCAAGAAGCCGCUCAAGCGAGGCUAGAAAUCAAGAAGCAGUUUCCCCCUCAGUCCCCGUCCUUUCACUUCCCCACCCGUGGGCACCUUUUGAAAGUCUCACAGAGCACUUCUGAAAAACCGCUUGGACCCGCGUGCUCGAGGCCUGGCUGGAGGUGGGCCCGCAGCUAGGCUUUCCGAAAACAGAUGGAUUCCGGAAAGGACUGUGCCAAACCCACCGGCUUUGUUUGGAAGGCCCCUCCCAGGAGGCCCCCCCUUCCCCGCGCGGCUUGUAUCUUACAAGUUUCCCACAGGUCUGAGCAGUGAAAGCAGAGGCGGUCGGGACUUCUGUGGUUUUCCAGGGUGGGGCCCAUGUUGCCUUCCCCAGGCUGGGGUGGCUUAGGUUCUGCAGCUCGCCUGUUUUUCAGAGGUGAUGAUUUCGCCCUGGGUCUGGGAGGCGGCUCCAAAUUUCUACCCACUGGCCCUGGAUUCCAGCCCUGACCUCGAGGGGGGCGCUAGAAGUCCUGCCCGCAGCGGGAAGGGAGCAAACCAGAGAGGACCUGGCGUCCUGGAGAGCUGGCCUCUGUGCAUGCUGGUGCCUGCAAAGGGCUCACGGGAGAGGGAGACAGCUGCACCCGGAGCGCCUUGCUGCUGUUCCGAGAAAGAAAGGAACAAAUAAAUUUAGCUCCAACCUACGCAUCCUUCACAGCUGCUUAUUGACCAAACAGAAAGGGGCCUCUCUUUCAACCCUGGCUUCUCAGCUCUGUGCCCAAGGAGGUCUGCCACGGCCCGCACAAGGGGCUUUUCUGGGAGGUAACCGACCCCGGCCACCUUUAGCUCUGGGCUGGGCGUUGCACAAGAGCUCAGGUUCAAGGUGCGUGGUGCUUUUGGCCAUCCUGAAACAAAAUGGUGGCCGGGAAGCGUUUCCACCCGGGCCUUGCUCAGCUCCUGGAACUUCUCAUGCGCGUCUUUGGGAGGCAGAGCAUGGGGCAGGCUUGAGGGAUGUGUGGCUGCUCCAAGGCCAGCCGAUAGCUCCCUGAGCCAUUAGUUUAAUAGCACCAUUCGUGGGAAUAAAGAACUCGCUGACGGGGGUCCGCAAGUUAAGAGACUGGAACGAAGUGCUGAAGAGGUUUCAGGCAGCUCGCCAGUGUGGAGGGGCUCCUGUGGGACAGGGAGGGCCGGCCCUGUGCUUCCAGUCACCGGAGUCUGGCUCAAGUCCUAGCUCCACCGCCUAAGGGCAGGGUGCCUCUGGGCAGGGAGAGCUGGCUCCUCACCUGGAAGUGAGAUGCUGGCCGUGACACUGGGCCCUUCUGAGCCUUGGCUCCUUACCUGGGAAGCAGAGAUAGUGUUCUAAGCUUGUCAUGAGGAUUAAAGGACAUCGUGUCCCGAGCAUGCCUGGCCCAGUUCUUGGUGUGCCAGGAGGGCCUGUGGUAACUGUUUCACCUGCCCGGGCCUGUUGUCUUCCCUUCUGGCCACGGCGUCCCACUGUCUCUCCUCCUGCUCUUCUCCAUAAGAUUUGGGGAUCACCUUACUCUCAAACUCUGAAGAUGAGCACGUAGCCCAGGCCAAAUCAUGGACAGUCCCACACACCCCUGGCCAUAGUGAUUAGUUUCUGGAUGUGCAUGGGACCCAAGCUGGGACAAUCAGAGCCAACUUUAGGAAUGUUAUUGGAACUAUUAGGACAGAGAAAAUCUUUCUUCUGGGUUUCUAAGAGGUCAAGGUUUAAAUGUGGUGCUGCUGGUGGCUGUCUUUGUAUAAAGGAGGGAAGAAUCUGCCAACAGGAGAAGGAAGCCAACAGAGAGAAAAACAAACAUGAGGUGACUGUGUCCUGACCAUUUGACCCCUUGAUCCAGCCAUACCUGAACCCAUCACUCCUUAAACUUCCCAGUUAUCUGAG
ensembl:lncRNA